rnacentral:sRNA from 1 species
GCUCACUUGUGCAUUUUUGGCCUGCAAAGUAGAUGAAUUCAAUGUAUCUAGUCCUCAGUUUGUUGGAAACCUUCGGGAGAGUCCUCUUGGACAGGAGAAGGCACUUGAACAGAUACUGGAAUAUGAACUACUUCUUAUACAGCAACUUAAUUUCCACCUUAUUGUCCACAAUCCUUACAGACCAUUUGAGGGCUUCCUCAUCGACUUAAAGACCCGCUAUCCCGUAUUGGAGAAUCCAGAGAUUUUGAGGAAAACAGCUGAUGACUUUCUUAAUAGAAUUGCAUUGACGGAUGCUUACCUUUUGUACACACCUUCCCAAAUUGCCCUGACUGCCAUUUUAUCUAGUGCCUCCAGGGCUGGAAUUACUAUGGAAAGUUAUUUAUCAGAGAGUCUGAUGCUGAGAGAGAACAGAACUUGCCUGUCACAGUUACUAGAUAUAAUGAAAAGCAUGAGAAACUUAGUAAAAAAGUAUGAACCACCCAGAUCUGAAGAAGUUGCUGUUCUGAAACAGAAGUUGGAGCGAUGCCAUUCUGCUGAGCUUGCACUUAACGUAAUCACGAAGAAGAGGAAAGGCUAUGAAGAUGAUGAUUACGUCUCAAAGAAAUCCAAACAUGAGGAGGAAGAAUGGACUGACGACGACCUGGUAGAAUCUCUCUAACCAUUUGAAGUUGAUUUCUCAAUGCUAACUAACUAAUCAAGAGAAGUAGGAAGCAUAUCAAACGUUUAACUUUAUUUAAAAAGUAUAAUGUGAAAACAAAAUAUAUUAAAACUUUUCUAUUG